rnacentral:rRNA from 1 species
CUACGUGCCAGCAGCCGCGGUAAUACGUAGGUCCCGAGCGUUGUCCGGAUUUAUUGGGCGUAAAGCGAGCGCAGGCGGUUUGAUAAGUCUGAAGUUAAAGGCUGUGGCUCAACCAUAGUUCGCUUUGGAAACUGUCAAACUUGAGUGCAGAAGGGGAGAGUGGAAUCCCAUGUGUAGCGGUGAAAUGCGUAGAUAUAUGGAGGAACACCGGUGGCGAAAGCGGCUCUCUGGUCUGUAACUGACGCUGAGGCUCGAAAGCGUGGGGAGCGAACAGGAUUAGAUACCCUGGUAGUCCACGCCGUAAACGAUGAGUGCUAGGUGUUGGAUCCUUUCCGGGAUUCAGUGCCGCAGCUAACGCAUUAAGCACUCCGCCUGGGGAGUACGACCGCAAGGUUGAAACUCAAAGGAAUUGACGGGGGCCCGCACAAGCGGUGGAGCAUGUGGUUUAAUUCGACGCAACGCGAGGAACCUUACCAGGUCUUGACAUCCCUCUGACCGCUCUAGAGAUAGAGUUUUC